CAACUUUCAGCAACGGAUCUCUUGGCUCUCGCAUCGAUGAAGAACGCAGCGAAAUGCGAUAAGUAAUGUGAAUUGCAGAAUUCAGUGAAUCAUCGAAUCUUUGAACGCACCUUGCGCCCCUUGGCUAUUCCGAGGAGCAUGCCUGUUUGAGUAUCAU
rnacentral:rRNA from 1 species